GUGCAGUUGUUUCUUAAGUGCACAUGUUUUUUUGUAAUUACAGUGCACCAAAAUUCUGGCUUUAAUGAGUUUAAUCUCAAACUUUACACUUUUGUCAAUAGUACAAAUUUAGCAUGCAAUCAUAUAUCUUUAUGAAACAUAUUUUUCUCAAAUUCUUCUGAAACUGACAACUCAAUCAACAAAUUGCCAUCAAAUUAUCCUGUCAAUCAAGUUAAUAAACAUAUAUAUUUUGGUGAGAUAACAUUUCUCUUUAAUGGCAGAUCUAUCUCCCAAAUUUAUCAGAUAUUUCACAUUCAGGGGUCAAUUACAUAGAAAGAUAAACGCAUGGUUAUCUUACAAACAAGAUAACGUGAUAAAUGAUCCAUUGGAGGAGGCGAGAUUGACAGAUAGAAUGGUAACACAGUACAGAAUCCAGGGAGUCUGGAGAUGGAGGAAAGGGGGAUAGGAUAUAGGGGGAGGGGAUAUAAAGGUAUGGUUAUCUUCUAAAAAAGAUAAUGUGAUAAAUGAUCCUUUGGAGGAGGUGAGAUUGACAGAGUGGUUACAUAGUGAAUAAUAUACUUUUUGUAGAUUCAGUGAGUGAGGGGGAAUCAGCAAUGCUGGUGGUGGUGUUUUUUGUUGUUUUUUUGUUGUUUUUUUUGGGGGGGGGGGGUCUUGAGUAUAUAGAGUACCGGUAUAACAUUUCAUGCUAUGGAGGAGGUGAAAUAGACAAUGCAACUAAGUUUUUUUCCAGUACCUGGUAGAUACCAUUUAGUCAGGAGAGUGGUGGAAGAUUUAAGAGGAUGUUUUUGAGCCUGGAACUUGUUUUUUGGUUUUUAAAUUUGGUGUUUGACAACAGAUCUUUGAUUGUUUCUGUUUAAUUUAGUCCAGUUUAGACUAAGAACAUGUAAAGCUGGUAUACCGUUUCUAUUGCUAAAGACUGAACAUAUAAUUGUCUUUAUAAAAUAAAAAGAUGUGGCAUGAUUGCCAAUGAGACAACUCUCCACCAGAGAAACAAAUGAAGAAAAAGUUAGCUCAUUUGGUGUGUUUGAGCUUUUGAUUUUGCCAUUUGAUAAGGGACUUAAUUAUCUUAAAUUUUCUGAAGUUUGUUAUUUUACUUUUUAGCAGUUUGGUUAUUUUUAUCUAUUACUAAA
rnacentral:lncRNA from 1 species